rnacentral:lncRNA from 1 species
GACCAGCAUUUUCGCGCUUCCUCGGCUGCGAUGAGAGAAAUGAACUCUGCAGUUGCUCAGAGGCGCCCCGUUUUGACGGCGCAAGUUCCAGAGCAGGGAAUCUGCCGCUUAGAAUAGGUUCGGAUGGGGGCCUCUCCAAGAGUAAAAGGAGGCAUGAUAUACAGUAUGUCUGUUUUAUCUGUUUAGUAGUUUAAACAGCAGCGGCAACGGUGGCUGGUAGAUCCUUCCCUGUUUCCAGCACCACGUUUCCAAAAUGGCUGAGAAGUCAAGCUUGGACAUCCUCCGCACCCCUCACGUCCAGGUCCUUAUUCCCAGCAAGACCACUCCUGCAGUCAUAAAGACAAUUCCCACAUCAUCUUUCUUUUAAUGGAAGCACUCAUGGGAAUUUUUUUUUUCAUCUGUAAGUUUUUAAUAGAUCUGCUCUGUUUAUAUAUAGUUUUGAUUACAGUAUAUAAAUGCUUAAUUGUUUUUAAUUAUUGUUCUUUUCAAAAAGUUUUUAGCUGUUCCUAUUUUAUCUGUAAAACGCUUUGAGUCCCUGUAGGAUUCAUGCGAAUGGGUGAGUGGAACACCCAAAAUGAUAGUAAAAUUAGCCUUUGGUUCUCUGAGUAGCUCUGCUCUGCUCCUGUAUUCAUGAACUCUACAGGAGCAGGAGCAGCAGCCAAAGGGCAGUACUGUACAGUAGAGGUUUGUACUGUAUUAAAGGAUUACACAUCUCUUAAUCUGUGUUUCAUUUUACCUCAGCUUUAGGUGUAAGCAGAAAUGGAGAUGCAAGAUAAAGCAAGGUCUGCAACUGAAGGAGCAGGAGUGUUAACCUUUUGUAUAUGAGUAUAUCCACCCAGAGCAGGCCAGAAGGACUUAUUACUGCCAUUAUGGAGUGAGGGAAUUGGGGAGGAACCACUUUGCCUUUCCUCCAUUGCUGCUUAGUCUCCCAGAACACCUGUGUGAUCCCAGCUCUCUUCACUUAUUUCAGCAGCAGCCUCCCCCAACCAGGUGCUGGUCAGUCCCAGUCAGCUCCAGCCAGCAUUCCCGAAACAUUUGGAGGGCACCAAGUUGGGGAAGGUGGACCUACAGGUAACUAGGCCCAUAAUCAAGCCUAAAUGUAUGUGACUGAGUUGCACAUUCUCUGCCUGUUUACUCCUACCUCUACUUCCUUUUCCUGCCUUGUGUCAGAUUUUUAACAGCCAGCGCUUCAGGGCAGUGACCUGAGCCUUUUCUGUAACAUUCCUUAUGCACACACAGUGCUAAUUAGCAAACAAUUUAUACUUCACUUAAGUGCCGCUUGCCAUGUAGACUGAAGGAAAGUGAACAGAAGCAGCUUUUUACAGGAACACAGAUAUGAACACAUCUGAUUCAGUUCGGGAUCUGUUUACAGCUGAAUUAGAUAUUCCUGAAGGGGUUAUUAGGGCAAUGAGUACAUUCUACUCAGCCUCCUUCUGAAUAGCUCCAUCUGAUUAAACCUGGGAUGGUUGCAUGAAAAUCACGUGCUCUUCCAGUGUGCUAAACUGACAGUGGAUGUUGACAGCUGGAGAGGGGCAGGGAAGGAAUUUCCUUUAGUGGAAUUAAUAGUGUGGGCCUCAGCUAAAUAGGUGGGUGCAUUAAGGCUCUGUGAGCAAUAGAUCUCAUCAGCCACACCAAGUCUUGUUGAGUAGCCUAUUCUCACUGUUAUAAUCCUGUAUCCUUUCUGUGUUGCUGCUCUUUGUUUUCUUAUGGCAUUGUGGAUGUACAUUCAUGGUACCAUAUGAAGACAUGGUGACCAGAAGCGUUGAAGUGCCCACAAUCAAGAGGAGCUGCAAGUGUGGAGGAAAGCAGUAGGUGUGAAUAUCUCUGAUGACAAGUUCUUUUUUUAGCAAUAGUGGUGUUAAGGGAUAGGCUGGAAAAAAGAGCCAGGAAACUGAAGUUCCUCUGCUCUGGCAGAAAGUUCAAAGGACAGCAAAGGGUAGGAGGCAUUCAUCCGCAAUAUGCUCAGUGAUGCAAUUCUCUGCCCUGAGGAGUUUGUGGUCUAAACUAAUCUAGCCAUGAUUUUGCUUUUCCUCAGCUGGAGGGUGGCAGCUGGUAUUAAAAAAUAGCCUGGCAGGCACAAUUUUUACAAAGAAGCUUUGCUUACUUCAGCAAGCAUACUGUGCAGGGCUUUUUUGGCUGCAGCUCUCUGCAAUUAAUUAAAUGCUAGGAACGCAGAGGAAAGGAGCAUAAACUCCUGCUACUCUCCCCUUCUUCUUGGGCAAUGGGUUGUAACAUCAAGGGCCCUAGGAGCUUUGUACCAAGGGGGUGGCGGGGGGGGGGGAGCAAAGCCCAGAGAUAAUGGCUAGAACAAUAAAUGAUGGAAAUGUUAGUGGGACUGAAUGGGGUUGGGACUAUUAGGAUCAUAAGCCAUGUAAGUAGAGAGCUUUCUACAUAUAACUAAUCUGCUAAUGCAGAGUCCAAACUCCAAGCAAAAUCCAUUUUGUCUUGUAAUUAAGGGGGAGAAUAAAAUAAGCACUUGAGCAUUAGUUGCAGGAUAAAUGAGAAGAAUUAGAAGGCACAGAAGUAAGAAACACAAUAUUGGGGAAUAUAAUAGCCACUUUGCAGUUUGCAAUAGAUGACCUGGCUUAGGACUUGCAUUUCAUUUGAUUCUCCAAAGGCUGCACACUGUAACCAAAAUAAAUAGUAGGACAAGCCAGAGAAGACUCAGAUGACAACCCCGAAGCUUUGACAAUAUGGUCUGCAUAAUUGAUGUAAUAACAUCCUAUGGCAUGAAAGGUAAAGAAUAUCAGGUGCCUGCCAUUUAUCUGGUGAUUGAGCACACUCCAAAUUAUCCAAAGUGCUUCUGCCAGGAAGGUACUGGACUAGGCCAUGUUAAUGGUCUGGUUAUAUACAGUUUUAAAGAUCCAGGGAUAAAGGCAUGCAAACAGUUCCAGUCUAGAAAUAAAGCAGCUUCAUUAGAUUUAUGGCUCCUCACUAAUAUAUUAAUUAGGCCAAGCUGUUCAUGAUAGGCUUGCAUUUCAAACCUUUCCUUCUUUUUUGUAGCUCUUCAGUUGCUGUUGGAACACUUGCCUAGCCUAAAAUAUUUGAAGCCAACAUAAUAAAAUUAGGAAAAGGUAGCAUAGAGAUUUCAGCUUUGAAAAAAAACCUUGAUUAAUCUUAAGCAAUUAAAUCCCCACUUCAGAUUUUUUUAAUGAUCACUAAUCAGCUUCCAUCUGAAAACAGAUUGCAAGAUGGUUACCAGGGUAAAGCAGUGAGAAUGAAGCAUCAUUUCAGCCCUUUGGACCAGCACAGUAUUUGAGACAUGGAUGUUACAACUCUGCAGCAAAAUCAGUUGCAAUUUUCAAUUAAAUUAUGUCUCAUUAGAAAGACUGUUAUUAGACAUAAUAGCGUAGGAAAGAGGACUCCAGGGAUGUAUCCAACUUCUGUUAAGGGGUCAUCAUUAUUGCUUGCUAACUAACUGCUGACAUCUUCCCCUUCAUUCCCCAUCCUUGCUUUGAAGGUGACAGUUUGUGAUAUCUUCAUUACCAGGCCCAUUUCUUGUCUGUUGGGAUAUAUGGCAGGACUCAUAGAUUCAUACAAUUGAAGAGUUGGAAGGGGCCAUGAGGAUCAUCUCAUCCAACCCCCUGCAAUACAGUAAUAUUUCACCCAACGUGGGGCUCUGAUUGGGUGGGAAGCUUCCAUCAUAUCCAUGGAGACAUUCUUGCUGCUGAUGGGAGAUAAAACAGCUUGGAUCUGAACCUUUUGGGAUUUGCCUGCUGGUUUCUCCCUCCCCCUCCCCCCUCCUUUGUAGUACAGUCCAACAUGCUGUAUCUACCUCCCUGAAGCUCAGCACUGGAACCCCAUAGGGACAUGUACUGAGUCCCUACCUGUACUCAUUGUAUACAUGACUGUAUUUCAUCUGAUCCAUCCACUGUAAUUAAUAAGUUUGCAGAUAUAAUGGGUCUAAUUCCAGGUGAUGAAUCAGCGUACAGGGGGGAGGUUCAAAAAGUAUCUACAUGGUGCUUAGCGAAUAACUUGUACCUAAUAUUAGCAAGACAAAAGAGAUGGUGUUGGACUUUCGGAGGAAGAGAGGGGAACUAGCCCCAUUAUAUAUCGGGGGUGUGUGUGUGUGUGUGUGUGUGGAGAGAGUCUCUUCCUUUAAGUUCCUGGGAGUUUACCUUAGUGAAGACCUCACUUGGAAAAACAAUAUAACUCAGGUGGUUAGGAAGGCCCAACAGAGACUCCAUUUUCUCAGGGUCUUGUGAAAGAACAAUGUUAAACAACAAUUGAUGACCUCCUUCUACCGGUCCACAAUAGAAAUUGUCCUUAUAUUGUAUCAGAGUGUGGUACGUUGGCUUGACAGCCACAGACAGAAAGUCUUUACGGAG